rnacentral:rRNA from 1 species
UACGUAGGGUCCAAGCGUUAUCCGGAUUUACUGGGUGUAAAGGGUGCGUAGACGGGAAUGCAAGUUGGUUGUGGAAUCCCUCGGCUUAACUGAGGAACUGCAACCAAAACUACAUUUCUUGAGUGCUGGAGAGGAAAGUGGAAUUCCUAGUGUAGCGGUGAAAUGCGUAGAUAUUAGGAGGAACACCAGUGGCGAAGGCGACUUUCUGGACAGUAACUGACGUUGAGGCACGAAAGUGUGGGGAGCAAACA